rnacentral:rRNA from 1 species
CCUACGGGAGGCAGCAGGGAGGAAUAGUGGGCAAGGGACGAGAGUCUGAACCAGCCAAGGAGCGUGAAGGAUGACGGCCCGAUGGGUUGUAAACUUCUGGUAUAAAGGAAUAAAACGAGGCACGUGUGCCUUUUUGCAUGUACUUUAUGAAUAAGGAUCGGCUAACUCCGUGCCAGCAGCCGCGGUAAUACGGAGGAUCCGAGCGUUAUCCGGAUUUAUUGGGUUUAAAGGGAGCGUAGAUGGGUUGUUAAGUCAGUUGUGAAAGUUUGCGGCUCAACCGUAAAAUUGCAAUUGAGACUGGCAGUCUUGAGUACAGUUGAGGUAGGCGGAAUUCGUGGUGUAGCGGUGAAAUGCUUAGAUAUCACG